CUUGCCCUUUCACUCUCCUCUCCUCCAGCCUGCCAGGCACCCAGACUCUUCUGGAAUCUCAGGAGAGGGUGGGGCGCCACCUAGCAGAGGUCUCCAGCUGCACAUGCAAGCUGCCACUUCAGCCCGGAGUCAUUCAGGAGCUGACUUUAUUCUACUGCAUUGUCCUGGUUGUCAGAAGAUGGGGAGGGAAGGGGAAACCAGAGAUACCAGGAGAGAUCAACCUAUAUUAGGCAUGUGAGAGGCAGAACAACUGAGUGAUUACGGUGAGAUUGAGCCAGAUGGCCUGGGUUCAGAUCCUGCUCUGCUGCCUGCCAACUGUGCAAGCUUGGACCCCAUCAAGAGUGUGGCUCCAUCUUCCAGAUCUGGAGCAAGCUCCUUGAGGCCAGGAGCUGCGUCCAGCUCACCUCUGUCUCCUAGACUGGGCCCAGUUGAUGAGCUCCAGGAGCUGACACUUUGGGGAAAACUGGAUGAGACAGAGGAACCAUUCAGAAGACAAUGCAGCAAUUGGACAUCAAAGGCCCAGAGAGGGGAAGGGACUCAUCAAGGCCACACAGCACAGCAAGCCUGUGUCAGAGCCCUGGGAUUGGGUCCCCAAGGCAUCAGGAGCCCUAGCGGCUCUGCCCUUAGCUCUGAGACCGUUAUCUCUGGUCCCCGUCUGGACCUCCUCUCUCUGGGCACCAAGAGCCAGGAGGCAAAGUUUCAAGCCAAGACCUCACCAGCUCCAGGUGCACCAGUAUCCCAGGUCCUCAGUCCCACAACACGCCGGGCCACCCGUUUGGGGGACAGAAAGGAAGCUCACGCUGCCCCCUGGCUGAGCCGACUUUGAGCAGCAGAAAAUAACUCACUCCAGCAAAAAUCAUCCAAACGCAUCCCCUGCUCCCUGCCCUGUCCCCUGGGCACCCACUGAGCCCCACCUGGGCCCAGACCCUCAACUCGGCAGGAGGUGGGACGACAAAGAGGAUGAAGCCCCUGGGUGGGCACCAUGGUCUGAAAUGGGAGCCACACCUUUCCUGUUUCUCCCAUGGCCACGAAGCUGUCAUUUAGUCUCAUUUCGUCCUCACAGCAACGAGGAAGGGGGCAUUAUUGGUCCUAUUUUUCUGAGGACAAACCUGAGGCUCAGAGAUGUGAAGUGAUUGCCCAAAUUCACGCAGCGAGUAAACAGCGAGGAUGAUCCCGGUCACCUGAGGGCAGAGUGGGUGCUGGUUUCACGGCCCACACUGUGCCUCUGGAGGUUCCAGAAGUCCUGCUAGGCCCACCUCCUCCAGGAGACCCCGAGCCCUGGCCCCGUGGGGACUCGGCCUCCUUGGGCGCCUGCACCGUUGCCUCUGCUCCUGCAGGCCGCCACGCUCACUGUGCCUGGCAGGCUGGGGCGGUGGAUCAGGCUCAGGCUCAGGCUCAGGGCUUCAGCUGCCUGCUCUUGGAUCCUAGCUCCACUCCUCAGGAAUUGAUUUGGGCCAGUGACAGCCUCAGUUUCC
rnacentral:lncRNA from 1 species